rnacentral:rRNA from 1 species
GACGAACGCUGGCGGCGUGCUUAACACAUGCAAGUCGAACGAAGUGGCGAACGGGUGAGUAACGCGUAAUCAACCUGCCCUUCAGAGGGGGAAAACAGGUGGAAACGACUGCUAAUACAGCAUACGGAGGGAGGGGAUUGCGUCUGAUUAGCUAGUUGGAGGGGUAACGGCCCACCAAGGCGAGGAUAAGUAGCCGGUCUGAGAGGAUGAACGGCCAAAUGGGGACUGAGACACGGCCCAGACUCCUACGGGAGGCAGCAGUGGGGAAUCUUCCGCAAUGGACGAAAGUCUGACGGAGCAACGCCGCGUGAGUGAUGACGGCCUUCGGGUUGUAAAGCUCUGUUAAUCGGGACGCGGUACCGGAAUAGAAAGCCACGGCUAACUACGUGCCAGCAGCCGCGGUAAUUC